rnacentral:rRNA from 1 species
GACGAACGCUGGCGGCGUGCUUAACACAUGCUUUUCGAACGGAAAGGCCCUGCUUUUGUGGGGUGCUCGAGUGGCGAACGGGUGAGUAACACGUGAGUAACCUGCCCUUGACUUUGGGAUAACUUCAGGAAACUGGGGCUAAUACCGGAUAGGAGCUCCUGCUGCAUGGUGGGGGUUGGAAAGUUUCGGCGGUUGGGGAUGGACUCGCGGCUUAUCAGCUUGUUGGUGGGGUAGUGGCUUACCAAGGCUUUGACGGGUAGCCGGCCUGAGAGGGUGACCGGCCACAUUGGGACUGAGAUACGGCCCAGACCCCUACGGGAGGCAGCAGUGGGGAAUAUUGCACAAUGGGCGGAAGCCUGAUGCAGCAACGCCGCGUGCGGGAUGACGGCCUUCGGGUUGUAAACCGCUUUCGCCUGUGACGAAGCGUGAGUGACGGUAAUGGGUAAAGAAGCACCGGCUAACUACGUGCCAGCAGCCGCGGUGAUACGUAGGGUGCGAGCGUUGUCCGGAUUUAUUGGGCGUAAAGGGCUCGUAGGUGGUUGAUCGCGUCGGAAGUGUAAUCUUGGGGCUUAACCCUGAGCGUGCCUUCGAUACGGGUUGACUUGAGGAAGGUAGGGGAGAAUGGAAUUCCUGGUGGAGCGGUGGAAUGCGCAGAUAUCAGGAGGAACACCAGUGGCGAAGGCGGUUCUCUGGGCCUUUCCUGACGCUGAGGAGCGAAAGCGUGGGGAGCGAACAGGCUUAGAUACCCUGGUAGUCCACGCUGUAAACGGUGGGUACUAGGUGUGGGGUCCAUUCCACGGGUUCCGUGCCGUAGCUAACGCUUUAAGUACCCCGCCUGGGGAGUACGGCCGCAAGGCUAAAACUCAAAGGAAUUGACGGGGCCCCGCACAAGCGGCGGAGCAUGCGGAUUAAUUCGAUGCAACGCGUAGAACCUUACCUGGGUUUGACAUGGAUCGGGAGCGCUCAGAGAUGGGUGUGCCUCUUUUGGGGUCGGUUCACAGGUGGUGCAUGGCUGUCGUCAGCUCGUGUCGUGAGAUGUUGGGUUAAGUCCCGCAACGAGCGCAACCCUUGUUCACUGUUGCCAGCACGUUAUGGUGGGGACUCAGUGGAGACCGCCGGGGUCAACUCGGAGGAAGGUGGGGAUGACGUCAAGUCAUCAUGCCCCUUAUGUCCAGGGCUUCACGCAUGCUACAAUGGCUGGUACAGAGAGUGGCGAGCCUGUGAGGGUGAGCGAAUCUCGGAAAGCCGGUCUCAGUUCGGAUUGGGGUCUGCAACUCGACCUCAUGAAGUCGGAGUCGCUAGUAAUCGCAGAUCAGCAACGCUGCGGUGAAUACGUUCCCGGG